rnacentral:rRNA from 1 species
GAUGAACGCUGGCGGCGUGCCUAAUACAUGCAAGUCGAGCGAACGGACGAGAAGCUUGCUGCUUUGAUGUUAGCGGCGGACGGGAGAGUAACACGUGUAACACCUACCUAUAAGACUGGGAUCACUUCGGGAAACCGGAUCUUAUCCGGGAUGAUCUUUUGCACCGCAUGGUUCGAAAGUGAAAUACGGUGUUGGUGUCACGUAUAGAUGGAUCCGCGCUGCAUUAGCUGGUUGGUAAGGUAAAGGCUUACCACGGCAACGAUGCAUAGCCGACCUCAGGGGGUGGUCGGCCACCCUGGAACGGAGACGCGGUCAAGACGCCUACGGGAGGCAGCAGUAGGGAAUCUGCCGCAAUGGGGGAAAGCAUGACGGAACAACGCCGAGUGAGUGAUGAAGGUCUUCGGAGCGUAAAACUGGGUUAUUAAGUAAGAACAUAUGUGUAAGUAACCGAGGACAGAGUGACGGUAACUAAUCAGAAAGCAACGGCUAACUACGUG